AUCACUGCUCGGGUCGGGCUGGGUGUCGGUCGGCGGGUGGUAUGCUGGUUAUUACUGUUCCUGAAGAACACUCUGCUGAAAGGAUACUGAUAGCCUCCAUUGGCCUCCUUGAUAACACUGAUCUCGGGAAGGUGCCCUGAAAAGUCUAGGAGUCAGUGUCAGUUUCGAUGCAUCAAUGUCACUAUUUUUUUACAGCUUUGAAGGAUGACCUUCAAAGGUGAAUAGAACGGCAUCAGUCCCUCAGGGCACCUUUCCCCUGACACUCCAGUGCCAGCUCUGCAGCUGCUUGAGGGCUAUGGACUGAAGUAUCUGCGUGCUAAAACCGAUAGGAGAGGGCAGCUGGGACUGCAUUCUUACCUCCUCUGUAUAAAACAUUUUGCUCUCCAGUUUGUCUAUCAGCAGAACAUGUGUGUGAUGCAUAGUGGUACAUUUGGGUGACUCCAGCUGGAAAGGAAUCCAGUGGCAUUUGGGAAAGAUGCUCUUCUUGAACAAGUUUGCACACUGGAAGGGGUGUGGAAGGAGAAGCGGAGCAGGGAAAUAGCGAUAAGGUGUACCACUGUAUGAAAACAUGCUUUGGAAGGGACAGACUCACUGUUCAGCUCUGAAGCAAACAGAGGUGGAUUCUCCAGCUCUCACAGAGGUCUCUUGUGCUGAAAGAGCUACACUGCAUCUGCUUUUCUGAGAACUGCAUUGUGCUUCCCAAAGCUCCAUCGUUUUCUUUUCCACCCCUCCUCACUGAACCACAUAGCUAUGAAUUUGUGAUAUGGUGCUGUAUCGUUUGUAGGAGAAAUCACACAGAAAUUGCUGAUUCCAGUGGAUUAGGCUCAUCUAAACCUCGCUUGAACAAAGGACAUGUAGAAGUUUGCAGAAGCUGCUUCUUGUGAUUUGACAGUGUCUUUAGAUCAACUGAUGCAACUUUUCAGCAUGCUCAGAGCUGUCUGCUGGUACAAAUCAGGCACCACUGCAUUAGUCUAGCUUGAAUCCAGCGCAUGGAGGAGGAGAGUUCUACCCAGUGCUGGGAUUUUGCCAAGUUUGGGGAAUUAAGAUAGAAAGUGGUUUAUUGUAAAUCAAGUUGAUUAUAUGCUGUUAUAGUAAGCAACAAGCAAAGUUCACUUGAUAAACAUUUAAGUAUGGGAAGAGCAAACUAAUAACAUCAUGUGCAGUGGAGAUCCUGGUUUUCUUAGGGCUCUCACUGAAGGUGAGUUUCCCUUUGAGAGCUUCAGAUGGGCCUUGUGGUACCUGGCAAAUAUUUUGCUCUGUAUUAGAAUUCAGGGUGCAGCUUUCAUGCAUCUAGGGGAAGACUGAUCCUUUAUUAGUUUAAAGUACCAUAGGUAGGUUAACUUUUCCCCCUUGCAGAUCCCCUCUAUGCCACUAUAUGAGAUAUGGAAGCAGCAGCUACAGUCUCUGUCACUCAGCAAAUGUAUUACAAAUGAAAGGAAUUGAUGUUUUGAGCAUUUUGUUCUUGUGUUGUUGUAAUGUAGAGCAUCAUAUAUUUAGUAAAUAUGUGAAGAU